UCCCCCCCACUAAGAAAAGAUAUGUCCCCCAGAUCUGAUGACAGGGGUUGGAGACGGUUAUGGGUAUGUAGACUGGGGUGUAUACUCUCUCCUUAAAUAUUUGCAAUUGAGAGUGUCGGCUAUUUUUCUUUUGAAUUUCAAGCUUUUUAUUAAACAAAAAUUUUUUUAAAGUAUACUAAGAUACAUUUUAGUGCAGUCACAGUGUAGGCGUAUUCCUCAACGGUUCAAAACUUCAACAAAUUUAGUUAAAGGUUUACACAGCGAUGAAAAAGAUUUAAGUGACAAUGCAUGAGUUGCUAUAUGAAAGUCUUUGCAGCAGAGAAGAGGAGCAAAAGUUCCUGAGAAGAUCAAUAAGGCUUAAUGAAACCAACCCAGUAAAUGCCUGUUUGAACUGAAAGCCCUGCGUCCGGGAAGCAGCAGAGGAAAGCAAGCAAAAAGUGAGGAAGCAGAGAAGGCGAAAUUAAUGGAACAAACAAUGUGAAAAAGAUGUUUUCAUUAAUAUUUCUCUCAUUAUUUUUUCUUUCGACUUUCUACCCUCUAAGCUUUCUUCCCCUUUUUCCCUGCUCCUCCCUCCUAAUCCUAUUUUCAUUAAAAUAUACCCCAAUCAUCCUUUUAAACAUUAACCCCCCUCCUCUCCUCUUAAUUAACCUCAUUAUUAACCCCCCACCCCUUGUCCUCAUCAUCAUUAUUCAAUUUCCACCCCUCUUCUCCCCAUCACCCUCAUUAUACCCACAUCAUUAACCCACCUCCCUCCCUCCUUCUAAUCAUCCUUAUUAUUACCCCCCCCCCUCCUCCUCUUCCUCAUUA